AUACAAUAACUGUUUUUCACACAUAAACUGGACCAUGUUAUUAAAGUAACAAAAUGAUAAAAAAAAAAAUGAUUUCAUUUCCUUGCAACAUAAAAUGUCACAUAAAAUACAAACUAAAAACUAAAUGGUCAAUGAUUCAUUUCAGGCUUUUUCCUCUCUGAAGUACAGUUCAAACAGACCUAUUUAAAACAUUUAAUAGCAAAAACAAUUUAAUAUUGGUGUGUAUUAUCCUUGAAAAGAACAAAAACAUUCA
rnacentral:lncRNA from 1 species